GUAUUUUGCACUAUGAAUUGGAUUUGAGAUCAUUUUGAUUGAGCAGAAACAAUCACAGUUUAUUACCGAAUACUUGGCUAUGGCAGAAAAUGAAGAACUUCGGUCAAGUUUCGGAUGUCCUACUAUUUUCGUCACGUUUGGAAGGGAAAAAAGAAAAAUCGUCAGCGCAUUCUGGUCAUCAUAUUAUAGAAAUAUUUGUGACUGAAUCCCAUCUGAAUGUUGGAUGACAUAUAUCAAGAUGACACUGAACAGGACAUAACUGAGGAAAAUGGAUGUGAGAGAAUCCAAUCUAACAGUUGGAAAUAAAUAUAUAUAUUAUUUA
rnacentral:lncRNA from 1 species